GAUUGAUAUUGGGGUUUGAUAUGAAGUGAUGUAUAUUGUCCUGUUUUAGGGUGCUGUCUUAAAAGGGUGAGGGUACAGGUUUAAAUAAAGAGGCAAACUAUGAAAUAUUCAAAAUGUUCGAUUUUAAAAACACAUUGUUCUACCUCUGCAGAGCUGUCACAGUUUAGCCAGGGCAAAGGCUGCUGGAAUAUCAGUGAAGAUAUAAAA